AUUCGCUGCUCCACCUCUCGGCGAGAUGCGAGGAGAGCCCCGCCGUUGCUGCAGUUCUCCGUCAGUGGCGUCACGAACCUUCUGAGGCUCCUCUUUCCCAAGAAACAGACGUCAGCCACCGCCACCCGCUUCAUCCCUUCUUCAUCUUUGCUCUCGGUGGCGAGCUUCUGGCAGAGAUGAACUAGCGCCUUCUUUGGCUCAGUAGCGUGGAUGAUGUCCUUCGAGUUCACAAGGCGGACUAUGGUCGUGCUUGCUUCCUUACAGGAUGAUGAUCGAUGCCUUUUUUGGCAUCAGCUACUUCCUAGUUUCAAAUGCCGGCUAGCAAGAUAUUGAGAUGCAUGUGGCUGAUCAAGAAUCUCAAAGCCUCCACACCGAGUUGGAAAGGUAGCUUGGUUGCUCACUGAAGUUUUGAUAAUUCCUGAAGAUUUGGUUUUUGAUACAGCUACUGUUUUGUAAUGCUUUCCAUAUGUGCUGAAUCAGACAGGCGAUUAUAUCUUGUUACCGAACAAACUUCUCAGAAAACAGAAGUUUUUGUAUCA